UUGAGAGAAUAUUUCUAGAUUUGAAAGCACGUGUGAUCCCGAAGCAAGUUCAUCAUAGAUUUAUGAUCUUUAAAAACUGAGCUUGAUAGCAUUACAGUUCCAUGGUGGGAAGAGCUUCCUACACAUUGGGUAAAUGUAAGCAUUGCUAUCUUUCCCAUGUCGACGAAGUAUAAUGACGGGUUCUCUUCCACUGUUGUAUUAACUAAUUCAAUCUUCUUUUUUCCGAGUUCACCUUUUCACAUAGGUUAAAUCUAAGUUUGUGGGCAUCUAAUUCUAUAUCAAUCAAUUGUAGAGGAUCCUACUUCGAACCACUUUUGUGGAAUUUGUAUUUCUUCACGGUACAGAGACACAAGUUAUUUAUUAAGACUUUAUAAAAAUUGAAAUAUCCUGCUUGACUCGACUUACAACGCAAAGCGUUUUGAUUUUGGAUUAGCAAAAGGUGGUCCUAUUGCCAAUUUCUCUACAGCAAGAGAGAGUACUGGCUUUGACAAACAAUUUUGAAGCACUGAGUUGCUAUGAUGAAGCAGAAUUACAACAGCACGUGACAAAUCUGCUGCAGUAGAAGCUACAACAAUUAGAUAUGUCCUCGGUUCCUCUUGCUACCGGGCAUUCGAAUGAAAUUUCUAACAACGAUACACCUUUAAGAUUUUGACAAUGGCAUACAACAAUAUAUGACAAGUAUCAUGUUAAGAUGAAAGCUAGAUCUUAUAUUGUAUCGAUUCAUCCCACAAUUCUGUUGUAGAAUUGUGGGAACACUGUGAUUAACAAUUCACAAUCUAAAGGACCUGAGAUGUUAUGUGUGAAUCUACUGUUGUC